AACAUGUUUCUCUCUCCUCAAUCCUCGUACCGUAUCCAACUUUCUCUCUCCACGAAAUUGCAGUUCUCUCGCAACUUUCUACCCGAUUUUCUUCACAUUUUAGAAAAUCUGUCAUAAAAAUAGGUAGAAUUCGUCAAUUUUAUGCUGCAAUUAUACUCGAAUUAUUCGUAAAAUGGAAUUAUACUCAAACUAUUCAUAAAAUUUUAGAGUUCGUGGAAGCAAAUUCGAAGUAUGUUGUGCAACGUUCAAAUAUCUUCACAUGAAUCUGCAAAUUUCGAUGUCUAAAUCAGAGUAUUCUAUUGAGUCUUGGAGUAUGUUGUCAAGUUGAGGGAAGAUAAACUAGGUACAGCAAACACUGACUUUGAUGAUGAAAUGAGCAGGCUUGGCGAGCUAUUGAGGAAGCCGGGAAGAGCAGAAAUAGAAAAACAAAAUCCCUCAUCGAUCCAAAUUCUAAGAGAACAAAGAAAGAGACAACAAAUAGGUGGGGAGGGUUGGGUUUUAGGAUUUGAGGAUGAAGAAGCAGUUCCUCACAUAUUGCAGCUGCCUCUGUUGUGUAACAUAGUGUAUAGUUUCAGUGAUGUAAGCUUUGUGUGGCCUUUACUUGUUAAAGCUUUGUGUGCAUUUGUUCUCUUUAUUUCAUUUAUUUAAAUUGAUUGCUGAAAGUGAUAUUUUUCCUUCUUCUUUCAUCCGACAUGGAGCUCUCCUCAUGGGAAGAAAUUGAUGUAUGGAUGAGAUCUAAUACCAUUACCCUUUGUCUUCAGGUUAUUAUUAGUAGUAUUUGCCACUGAACUGUAACUCUGUAAGUUAUUAUUAGUAGUAUUUGUUCAACUCUCA